UGGGGAAUUUUGGACAAUGGGCGAAAGCCUGAUCCAGCAAUGCCGCGUGUGUGAAGAAGGCCUUCGGGUUGUAAAGCACUUUUGUCCGGAAAGAAAUCCUUGGCUCUAAUACAGUCGGGGGAUGACGGUACCGGAAGAAUAAGCACCGGCUAACUACGUGCCAGCAGCCGCGGUAAUACGUAGGGUGCAAGCGUUAAUCGGAAUUACUGGGCGUAAAGCGUGCGCAGGCGGUUUGCUAAGACCGAUGUGAAAUCCCCGGGCUCAACCUGGGAACUGCAUUGGUGACUGGCAGGCUAGAGUAUGGCAGAGGGGGGUAGAAUUCCACGUGUAGCAGUGAAAUGCGUAGAGAUGUGGAGGAAUACCGAUGGCGAAGGCAGCCCCCCUGGGGCCAAAUACUGACGCUCAUGCACGAAAGCGUGGGGAGCAAACAGGAUUAGAUACCCUGGUAGUCCACGCCCUAAACGAUGUCAACUAGUUGUUGGGGAUUCAUUUCCUUAGUAACGUAGCUAACGCGUGAAGUUGACCGCCUGGGGAGUACGGUCGCAAGAUUAAAACUUAAAUGAAUUGACGGGGUCAUAGCUGUUUCCU
rnacentral:rRNA from 1 species